GGGCAACAAUGAUGACAGGAGUUGUAGCUGUAAUGGUUCAUUACUGCAUGGAGACACCAGUCCCUCUAAACUGAGGUUGCCC
rfam:Picoides pubescens contig29767, whole genome shotgun sequence.